rnacentral:rRNA from 1 species
AGAGUGAACGCUGGCGGUAGGCCUAACACAUGCAAGUCGAACGGCAGCACAGUAGGAGCUUGCUCUUACGGGUGGCGAGUGGCGGACGGGUGAGGAAUACAUCGGAAUCUACCUUUUGGUGGGGGAUAACGUAGGGAAACUUACGCUAAUACCGCAUACGCCCUUCGGGGGAAAGCCGGGGACCAGCAAUGGCCUGGUGCUGAUAGAUGAGCCGAUGUCGGAUUAGCUAGUUGGUGAGGUAAUGGCUCACCAAGGCGACGAUCCGUAGCUGGUCUGAGAGGAUGAUCAGCCCACACUGGAACUGAGACACGGUCCAGACCU